rnacentral:rRNA from 1 species
AGAGUUUGAUCCGUGGCUCAGAGUGAACGUUGGCGGCGUGGAUUAGGCAUGCAAGUCGAGCGAUCGUAGCAAUACGGGAGCGGCAAACGGGGUAGGAAUACAUCGGAACGUACCUUUUGGUUGAGAAUAGCGUUGGGAAACUGACGGUAAUACUCAAUAAAGUCGAGAGACCAAAGGUUUACUGCUGGAAGAGCGGCCGAUGCGAUAUUAGGUAGUUGGUGGGGUAAAUGGCCUACCAAGCCUGAGAUGUCUAGGGGGUGUGAGAGCAUGGCCCCCACCACUGGGACUGAGAUACUGCCCAGACACCUACGGGUGGCUGCAGUCGAGGAUCUUCGUCAAUGGGCGAAAGCCUGAACGAGCGACGCCGCGUGCGGGAUGAAGGCCCUUGGGUUGUAAACCGCUGUCAGGGGGGAUGAAACCGUAAGGUUGACAGAGCCCCAGAGGAAGCACGGGCUAAGUUCGUG